UGGGGAAUAUUGCACAAUGGGCGAAAGCCUGAUGCAGCGACGCCGCGUGAGGGAUGACGGCCUUCGGGUUGUAAACCUCUUCAGCAGGGACGAAGCGAGAGUGACGGUACCUGCAGAAGAAGCGCCGGCCAAACUACGUGCCAGCAGCCGCGGUAAUACGUAGGAUGCAAGCGUUGUCCGGAAUUAUUGGGCGUAAAGGGUGCGCAGGCGGUUUUUCAAGUCAGAUGUGAAAUAUCCCGGCUUAACUGGGAGGGGCCAUUUGAAACUGAAAGACUAGAGUGCAGGAGAGGAUAGCGGAAUUCCCGGUGUAGUGGUGAAAUGCGUAGAUAUCGGGAGGAACACCAGUGGCGAAGGCGGCUAUCUGGCCUGCAACUGACGCUGAGGCACGAAGGCUAGGGGAGCGAACAGGAUUAGAUACC
rnacentral:rRNA from 1 species